rnacentral:rRNA from 1 species
UACGGAGGGUGCGAGCGUUGUCCGGAAUCAUUGGGCGUAAAGGGCGCGUAGGUGGCCCGGUCAGUUCGUGGUGAAAGCGCGGGGCUCAACCCUGCGUCGGCCAUGAAUACUGCCGCGGCUGGAGCACUGUAGAGGCAGGCGGAAUUCCGGGUGUAGCGGUGGAAUGCGUAGAGAUCCGGAAGAACACCGGUGGCGAAGGCGGUCUGACUAGGCAGUUGCUGACACUGAGGCGCGACAGCGUGGGGAGCAAACAGGG